rnacentral:misc_RNA from 1 species
GAUGAAGAACGUAGCGAAAUGCGAUAAGUAGUGUGAAUUGCAGAAUUCAGUGAAUCAUCGAAUCUUUGAACGCACAUUGCGGCCAUAGGUAUUCCUUUGGCCAUGCCUGUUCGAGCGUCAUUUACACCCUCAAGCCUAGCUUGGUGUUGGGCGUCUGUCCCGCCGUUCUCGCGCGCGGACUCGCCUCAAAGUCAUUGGCGGCGGUCGUGCCGGCCCCCUCGCGCAGCACAUUUGCGCUUCUCGGAGACCCGGCGGAUCCGCGCUCCAGCAAGACCUUUCACGACUUGACCUCGGAUCAGGUAGGGAUACCCGCUGAACUUAAGCAUAUCAAUAAGCGGAGGA